rnacentral:tRNA from 1 species
GCCAUGAUCGUAAGGUGGUUAGUACAUUGUGUUGUAGCCGCAAUAACCCAGGUUCGAAUCCUGGUCACGGCC